rnacentral:rRNA from 1 species
UACAGAGGGUGCGAGCGUUGUCCGGAAUCACUGGGCGUAAAGGGCGCGUAGGUGGCCCGACAAGUCAAUGGUGAAAGUUCGACGCUUAACGUCGAAUCGGCCACUGAUACUGUUGGGCUGGAGCACUGUAGAGGCUCAUGGAAUUCCGGGUGUAGCGGUGGAAUGCGUAGAGAUCCGGAAGAACACCGGUGGCGAAGGCGGUGAGCUGGGCAGUUGCUGACACUGAGGCGCGACAGCGUGGGGAGCAAACAGG